GACGAACGCUGGCGGCGUGCUUAACACAUGCAAGUCGAACGGAAAGGCCCGGCUUUUGCGGGGUGCUCGAGUGGCGAACGGGUGAGUAACACAUGAGUAACCUGCCCUUGACUGUGGGAUAACUUCAGGAAACUGGGGAUAAUACCGGAUAGGAGCUCCUGAUGCAUGGUGGGGGUUGGAAAGUGUCGGCGGUUGUGGAUGGACUCGCGGCUUAUCAGCUUGUUGGGGGAGUAGGGGCUGACCAGCUCUUCGACGGGUAGCCGGCGUGAGAGGGUGGCCAGCCACCAGGCGCCUGCGGUACGGCCCAGACUGCUACGGGAGGCAGCAGUGGGGAAUAUUGCACAAUGGGCCCGAGCCUGAUGCGACAACGCCGCGUGCGUGAUGCCCUCCUUCUGGGUGUAAACCGCUUUCGCCUGUGACGAAGCGUGAGUGACGGUAAUGGGUAAAGAAGCACCGGCUAACUACGUG
rnacentral:rRNA from 1 species